UGCAUGCACCUUUGAGAUUUGUUCAUUUGUUUGUGCAUUCAGUGCAUAAUGGAUGGAUCACUUUCUCCAUGGUGGAUAUUGGACAAGAGCCCGGACAUGAACUGAUUUCAGUGGAAACCAAGUGGGGAACCUGGACUUCUCAUCUCAUACGUAAGUAGAAAGCAUCCUGCCCUUCUUCCACUGGAACAGUAACAGAGGAGAACUGUUAAAAACAUAAGAUUUAAGUACAAUCCAGGCUUAUAAUACCCAAAUGUUCACAUGACAUAGAAAAGAACAGAAAGAUCUCAACUUGAAUAAGAAAAGACAAUCAACAAAUGCCAAUAUUGAAAUGACACAGAUGUUAGAAUGAUCUGACAUGAAUUUUAAAGGAGUUGUGAUAAAAAUGCUUCAAUGAGCAAUGACAGUCUUGAAACAAAUGAAAACAGAAAUAUUCAGAAAAGAAAUAGAAACUAUCAAAGAAAUAAAAGAUAUAAAGAAGAAUCAAAUGGAAAUUUUAGAACAAAAACACAAUAACCAAAAUAAAAAACUCAAUGAAUGAACUCCAUAGAAGAAUGGAGUGAACGGAAUAUAGAGUCAGUGAAGUUGAGGACAGAACAACAGAAUUCACCCAAUCUGGACAACUAAGAGAACAUAGACAAAAAAAAAA